rnacentral:lncRNA from 1 species
CAGAACUGACUGGCUCAGGAUUCUAAGGCAGUUGGGGGGAACUGACAACUGCCUCUCUCAAGCUGGGAUUCAGAUAGAGAGGCUGUGUGUCAGAGUAUCCCUGAAGAAAUCAUCUUUGGAGCUGCCUGACUUGGAUUAUCUUCAAGGAAAGGAAAUUUAAAGAUAGAGGUUAAAAUUAAACAGCUGCAAGUCUGAAGAAAGCUGUUUAGGCAUGAACUUCAAAGUCCAGUGUUAGAAUUAAAGGAUAUAAUAGGCUAAUUUUAAGCAUUUUAAAAGACUACAAAUAAUCUUCCCAUGUGCGCGGUGUGGAAAGGAGAGCUUGUCACACAUAUGAGUGCAUUUGUUCUGAAACAGCUGCAAUAACCCACACACUAUUCCCCAACUGGGGCUUUAUCUUCUACUCCUAAAGAUAGGAAGAGAAAGAGAAUAAGAACAGAAUUUCAAUGAACAGCACUACAGACAAACUACUGCCUAGCCAUGGCACCUACAUCUUGUACUUGUGUCUUCAUUUUUAUCCAAGAUAAAUUUCUUCACUAAUGUUAAGAUCUUUUCAAAUCCAGU